GUCCCCAUCGUCUAGCGGCCUAGGACAUUGCCCUUUCACGGCAAAAACACGGGUUCGAGUCCCGUUGGGGACGCCA
rnacentral:tRNA from 1 species